rnacentral:rRNA from 1 species
GACGAACGCUGGCGGCGUGCUUAACACAUGCAAGUCGAACGGAAAGGCCCUGCUUUUGUGGGGUGCUCUAGUUGCGAACGGGUGAGUAACACGUGAGUAACCUGCCCUUGACUUUGGGAUAACUUCAGGAAACUGGGGCUAAUACCGGAUAGGAGCUCCUGCUGCAUGGUGGGGGUUGGAAAGUUUCGGCGGUUGGGGAUGGACUCGCGGCUUAUCAGCUUGUUGGUGGGGUAGUGGCUUACCAAGGCUUUGACGGGUAGCCGGCCUGAGAGGGUGACCGGCCACAUUGGGACUGAGAUACGGCACAGACUACUACGGGAGGCAGCAGUGGGGAAUAUUGCACAAUGGGCGGAAGCAUGAUGCAGCAACGCAGCGUGCGGGAUGACGGCCUUCGGGUUGUAAACCGCUUUCGCCUGUGACGAAGCGUGAGUGACGGUAAUGGGUAAAGAAGCACCGGCUAACUACGUG